rnacentral:lncRNA from 1 species
AUAGAAAAGUUUCUGGAGUUGCUCUCUAAAUGUAAUGGCAUUAAUAUGGAAAGAUUCUUGGAGUCUUAUAUUUACUAAUUAGAGAGAUUAUUCAAUGAUCAUUAAAUUCCUAUAGAGAGGCUUAAGAUGGUAAGCUAGAACAAUAAAGAGAAGUUUAAUAAAAUUCCCUAAUUGAAGCCUAAGCCAAUUAAAGAAGAUGAUUGGAUUUUGAUUUAUGACAGUAAUUUGAUGUAUCAACAUUCUAUUCUUUUUAAGUUUAUAUGGCAUUGGUUUGGACCAUAUGUGGUGGUUGAAAUGCAGAUUAAUACAAUUUAUUUUCUUUGAGAGUUAGAUUAGAUACCAUUGAAGAUUUAGAGGCUUUUGAACUUCAAUAUUUUGAUGAAUGAUUUAAAAGUAACAUGGCUCUUAAUGACUAUGAUUUUGAUGAUAGAGAUGUUGUGGUCUAAUUCUUUGGCCUAUACUAAAAUAUGUAUAGGAUUAAAGGAGGUGAGUGUCUUCAUACACUUAAUUUAAAUAUAUCAAAAAUAUUUGAAAGGUAAUUAAUUUUAUUUGUAUAAAGAGAUGAAUAUAAUGCUAAUAUAUUUAUA